CGCCACGCCGCCAGUCACCAGACA
rnacentral:piRNA from 1 species